GGGACGCCUUUGCCGGCCUCAGAUAGGAGAUAGGAUGCCCGGAGUCCCUCCCCUGACCUCCCAGGGGCCCUGAGCCCCAGAAGGUACCCAGAAGGGACUCCAAAUCCUUCAUUCACAGCCCUUGGCUGUCUGGCAUAUUCAGCUCUGAGGCCCAGCCUAUUAGCCGGCAAGGGAGGUCCUACCAGGGAGGGCCCCAGGGGCGGCCGCUGACUUGGUCCCUGAGUGUGGAGUGAAGAGAAGAGGCUGGACCUUGGAGGCUGACAGCCACACACUCCCUUCCCCUCACAGCCGGGGCCGUAGCCGGGAGUCACCUCUCCUCAGCCACCCCAGAGACCAGAGCAAGGAUUGGUGGAAAGACCGCCAAGAAGAGUGUCCAGGAGCCUGGGAACUGAGACAGACCAGCCCUGCCCUGCCCUGCUCUGGGGAGCCCUCGACCAAUGGGGAAAGGCCCUCUUGGGGUUUUACCUACUUACCAGCCCACGGGGAUAUGAGGGCCAGGUCCUCUCAGGUCCCCCAUGAGGGCCCUCCUAUUCUUCAGUGGCCAUCAUGAGCUCUGAAUAGAACAGGCCCGUCAGCCACAUUCCAGCAGGAAGGCUCCACCACCCUGCAGAAGGGAUAGCCCCUGAGACCUCUCCCCAUUGAGUGUCCUUGGGGAGAAGAAGGCAAUGUGGUCUGAAGCUCUUUCUGGUCUGCUUCCUCCCACCCUCCAAUCUCGAUCCUUGCACCCUCUCUACACAAGGCCUCAGUGUUUCACUGAUAACAGGUUUGGCUUUUUCCUGCCUCAGGGUCUUUGCACAUGCUGUUCCAGCUGCCUGUCCUGAAUGUUCACAUGACUGAUUCUCCUCUUUACCUGUUCAUAACCCCCCCCCCAAAGUAGCCCUCCCAGUUACUUCAUGGUUUAUUUCCUACGUGACAGCAUCUCCAUUACA